rnacentral:ncRNA from 2 species
CCCUAUCACAAGGGGUGCCUUGACGGCUGAGAGAAAUCGGACAGUUUCAACCCUUACAACCUGAUCAGGCUAGGACCUGCGUAGGAAUCGUGAUAAACCUUCAAC